rnacentral:rRNA from 1 species
UGGGGAAUAUUGCACAAUGGGCGAAAGCCUGAUGCAGCAACGCCGCGUGAGCGAUGAAGGCCUUCGGGUCGUAAAGCUCUGUCCUCAAGGAAGAUAAUGACGGUACUUGAGGAGGAAGCCCCGGCUAACUACGUGCCAGCAGCCGCGGUAAUACGUAGGGGGCUAGCGUUAUCCGGAUUUACUGGGCGUAAAGGGUGCGUAGGUGGUUUCUUAAGUCAGGAGUGAAAGGCUACGGCUCAACCGUAGUAAGCUCUUGAAACUGGGAAACUUGAGUGCAGGAGAGGAAAGUGGAAUUCCUAGUGUAGCGGUGAAAUGCGUAGAUAUUAGGAGGAACACCAGUAGCGAAGGCGGCGUUCUGGACUGUAACUGACACUGAGGCACGAAAGCGUGGGGAGCAAACAGG